rnacentral:rRNA from 1 species
GUGUCAGCCGCCGCGGUAAUACCAGCUCUCCGAGUGGUAGGGAUGAUUAUUGGGCUUAAAGCGUGCGUAGCCGGCUUGACAAGUCUUCUGUUAAAUCCAGCAACCCAAUUGUUGGACUGCGGGAGAUACUGUCUAGCUAGAGAACGGGAGAAGCCGACGGUACUCUCAGGGUAGGAGUGAAAUCCUAUAAUCCUGGGAGGACCACCAGUGGCGUAGGCUGUCGGCUAGAACGUGUCUGACGGUGAGGAACGAAAGCUUGGGGAGCGAACCGGAUUAGAUACCCGGGUAGUCCAAGCUGUAAACGAUGCGGGCUAGGUGUUGGGGUGGCUACGUGCCACUUCAGUGCCGCAGGGAAGCUGUUAAGCCUGCCGCCUGGGGAGUACGGUCGCAAGGCUGAAACUUAAAGGAAUUGACGGGG